GACAGAGGGGGCAAGCGUUGCUCGGAAUCACUGGGCGUAAAGGGCGCGUAGGCGGGAUGGCAAGUCAGUCGUGAAAUCUCUCGGCUCAACCGAGAAACGUCGGCUGAUACUGCCGUUCUUGAGGGAUGCAGAGGAGACUGGAAUUCCCGGUGUAGCGGUGAAAUGCGCAGAUAUCAGGAGGAACACCGGUGGCGAAGGCGGGUCUCUGGGCCGAUAUUGACGCUGAGGAGCGAAAGCGUGGGGGAGCGAACAGG
rnacentral:rRNA from 1 species